AAUAAGUCACGGCUAACUACGUGCCAGCAGCCGCGGUAAUACGUAGGUGGCUAGCGUUGUCCGGAUUUACUGGGCGUAAAGAGCGCGCAGGCGGUCGUUCAAGUCGAGUGUGAAGGCCCCCGGCUCAACUGGGGAGGGUCACUCGAUACUGAUCGACUCGAAGGCAGGAGAGGGAAGUGGAAUUCCCGGUGUAGUGGUGAAAUGCGUAGAUAUCGGGAGGAACACCAGUGGCGAAGGCGACUUUCUGGCCUGUUCUUGACGCUGAGGCGCGAAAGCUAGGGUAGCAAACGGGAUUAGAUACCCCGGUAGUCCUAGCCGUAAACGAUGGACACUAGGUGUUGGUGGUAUCAACCCCGCCAGUGCCGAAGCUAACGCA
rnacentral:rRNA from 1 species